rnacentral:rRNA from 1 species
UUCGAGAUGAGGACUCCCACCCACUUGAUGGGGUAAGGCUCCCAGUAGACGACUGGGUUGAUAGGCCGGAUCUGGAAGCACGGUAACGUGUGGAGGUGACCGGUACUAAUAGGCCGAGGGCUUGUCCU